rnacentral:rRNA from 1 species
AUUGAACGCUGGCGGCAGGCCUAACACAUGCAAGUCGAGCGGAUGAAGGGAGCUUGCUCCUGGAUUCAGCGGCGGACGGGUGAGUAAUGCCUAGGAAUCUGCCGGGUAGUGGGGGAUAACGUCCGGAAACGGGCGCUAAUACCGCAUACGUCCUGAGGGAGAAAGUGGGGGAUCUUCGGACCUCACGCUAUCAGAUGAGCCUAGGUCGGAUUAGCUAGUUGGUGGGGUAAAGGCCUACCAAGGCGACGAUCCGUAACUGGUCUGAGAGGAUGAUCAGUCACACUGGAACUGAGACACGGUCCAGACUCCUACGGGAGGCAGCAGUGGGGAAUAUUGGACAAUGGGCGAAAGCCUGAUCCAGCCAUGCCGCGUGUGUGAAGAAGGUCUUCGGAUUGUAAAGCACUUUAAGUUGGGAGGAAGGGCAGUAAGUUAAUACCUUGCUGUUUUGACGUUACCAACAGAAUAAGCACCGGCUAACUUCGUGCCAGCAGCCGCGGUAAUACGAAGGGUGCAAGCGUUAAUCGGAAUUACUGGGCGUAAAGCGCGCGUAGGUGGUUCAGCAAGUUGGAUGUGAAAUCCCCGGGCUCAACCUGGGAACUGCAUCCAAAACUACUGAGCUAGAGUACGGUAGAGGGUGGUGGAAUUUCCUGUGUAGCGGUGAAAUGCGUAGAUAUAGGAAGGAACACCAGUGGCGAAGGCGACCACCUGGACUGAUACUGACACUGAGGUGCGGAAGCGUGGGGAGCAAACAGGAUUAGAUACCCUGGUAGUCCACGCCGUAAACGAUGUCGACUAGCCGUUGGGAUCCUUGAGAUCUUAGUGGCGCAGCUAACGCGAUAAGUCGACCGCCUGGGGAGUACGGCCGCAAGGUUA